GCAAGCGUUGUUCGGAAUUACUGGGCGUAAAGGGCUCGUAGGUGGCCAACUAAGUCAGACGUGAAAUCCCUCAGCUUAACUGGGGAACUGCGUCUGAUACUGGAUGGCUUGAGUUUGGGAGAGGGAUGCGGAAUUCCAGGUGUAGCGGUGAAAUGCGUAGAUAUCUGGAGGAACACCGGUGGCGAAGGCGGCAUCCUGGACCAAUACUGACACUGAGGAGCGAAAGCCAGGGGAGCAAACGGG
rnacentral:rRNA from 1 species